rnacentral:rRNA from 1 species
GACGAACCGUCCAAACGUUAUUCGGAAUCACUGGGCUUAAAGGGCGCGUAGGCGGCCGAGCGGGUCGCGGGUGAAAUCCCCCAGCUUAACUGGGGAACUGCCCUCGAUACCACUGCGGCUCGAGGAAGGAAGGGGUCAUGGGAACUGUCGGUGGAGCGGUGAAAUGCGUUGAUAUCGACAGGAACGCCUGUGGCGAAAGCGCAUGACUGGUCCUUUUCUGACGCUGAGGCGCGAAAGCCAGGGGAGCAAACGGGAUUAGAUACCCCGGUAGUCCUGGCCUUAAACGAUGAGAACUAGGUAGUGGGUCCGACCUGGGCACACUGCCGAAGCGAAAGUCUUAAGUUCUCCGCCUGGGGAGUAUGGUCGCAAGGCUGAA